rnacentral:misc_RNA from 1 species
GAUGAAGAACGUAGCGAAAUGCGAUAAGUAGUGUGAAUUGCAGAAUUCAGUGAAUCAUCGAAUCUUUGAACGCACAUGGCGCCCUUUGGUAUUCCAAAGGGCAUGCCUGUUCGAGCGUCAUUUGUACCCUCAAGCUUUGCUUGGUGUUGGGCGUCUUGUCUCUAGCUUUGCUGGAGACUCGCCUUAAAGUAAUUGGCAGCCGGCCUACUGGUUUCGGAGCGCAGCACAAGUCGCACUCUCUAUCAGCAAAGGUCUAGCAUCCAUUAAGCCUUUUUUUCAACUUUUGACCUCGGAUCAGGUAGGGAUACCCGCUGAACUUAAGCAUAUCAAUAAGCGGAGGA